rnacentral:rRNA from 1 species
AACGAACGCUGGCGGCAUGCCUAACACAUGCAAGUCGAACGAUCCCUUCGGGGAUAGUGGCGCACGGGUGCGUAACGCGUGGGAACCUGCCCUUAGGUUCGGAAUAACUCAGAGAAAUUUGAGCUAAUACCGGAUAAUGUCUUCGGACCAAAGAUUUAUCGCCUUUGGAUGGGCCCGCGUUGGAUUAGCUAGUUGGUGGGGUAAAGGCCUACCAAGGCGACGAUCCAUAGCUGGUCUGAGAGGAUGAUCAGCCACACUGGGACUGAGACACGGCCCAGACUCCUACGGGAGGCAGCAGUAGGGAAUAUUGGACGAGGGGCGAAAGCCUGAUCCAGCAAUGCCGCGUGAGUGAUGAAGGCCUUAGGGUUGUAAAGCUCUUUUACCCGGGAUGAUAAUGACAGUACCGGGAGAAUAAGCCCCGGCUAACUCCGUG